rnacentral:snoRNA from 14 species
UGUCACCUGCCCCUCGGGGCAUCUCAGGUGUGGCUGCUGUGUUACAUGUGCAUCAGUUGGUGACAGAGAGAAGAGAGGCUAUGUCUAUGCUCAGUGUUCUGACCUGAGAAUAUUGGAAUGAUUAGUAGCCUAGUAUUG